rnacentral:rRNA from 1 species
AUUGAACGCUGGCGGCACGCCUAACACAUGCAAGUCGAGCGGCAGCAUGCUUAGUAGCAAUACUAAGUGAUGGCGAGCGGCGGACGGGUGAGGAACACGUAGGAACCUGCCCAAGAGAGGGGGACAACCAAUGGAAACGUUGGCUAAUACCGCAUAAUCUCUUAGGAGAAAAGUUGCCCGUAAGGGUAGCGCUUUUGGAGGGGCCUGCGUCCGAUUAGCUAGUUGGUGAGGUAAUGGCUCACCAAGGCUGUGAUCGGUAACUGGUCUGAGAGGACGACCAGUCACACUGGGACUGAGACACGGCCCAGACUCCUACGGGAGGCAGCAGUGGGGAAUCUUGGACAAUGGGGGCAACCCUGAUCCAGCGAUGCCGCGUGGGUGAAGAAGGCCUUCGGGUUGUAAAGCCCUUUAGGCUGGGACGAAGGGUAUGGGACGAAUAAUCCUGUACUUUGACGGUACCAGCAGAAUAAGCACCGGCAAACUCUGUGCCAGCCGCCGCGGUAA